CCUACGGGUGGCAGCAGUGGGGGAUAUUGCACAAUGGGGGGAACCCUGAUGCAGCGACGCCGCGUGGGUGAAGGAGCGUUUCGGCGCGUAAAGCCCUAUCCGCAGGGAAGAAGAUGACGGUACCUGACCACGAAGCCCCGGCGAACUACGUGCCAGCAGCCGCGGUAAUACGUAGGGGGCAAGCGUUAUCCGGCUGUACUGGGGAGAAAGGGGGCGCAGACGGCCAUGAAAGCCAGGAUUGAAAGCCCGGGGCGCAACCUCGGGACUGCUCUUGGAACUGCAUGGCUGGAGUACAGGAGGGUCAGGCGGAAUUCCUAGUGUAGCGGUGAAAGGCGUAGAUAUUAGGAGGAACACCGGUGGCGAAGGCGG
rnacentral:rRNA from 1 species